rnacentral:rRNA from 1 species
GAUGAACGCUAGCGGCAGGCCUAAUACAUGCAAGUCGAACGGGAUCAAGAUCAAAGCUUGCUUUGGUUUGGUGAGAGUGGCGCACGGGUGCGUAACGCGUGAGCAACCUACCCUUGUCAGGGGGAUAGCCCGGCGAAAGUCGGAUUAAUACCGCAUGACAUCAUUGAGAGGCAUCUUUCGAUGAUCAAAGAUUUAUCGGACAAGGAUGGGCUCGCGUGACAUUAGCUAGUUGGUAAGGUAACGGCUUACCAAGGCUACGAUGUCUAGGGGCUCUGAGAGGAGAAUCCCCCACACUGGUACUGAGACACGGACCAGACUCCUACGGGAGGCAGCAGUAAGGAAUAUUGGUCAAUGGACGGAAGUCUGAACCAGCCAUGCCGCGUGCAGGAAGACGGCCCUAUGGGUUGUAAACUGCUUUUAUACGGGAACAAACGUCGGUACGUGUACCGGUCUGAGUGUACCGUAAGAAUAAGGAUCGGCUAACUCCGUG